GACGAACGCUGGCGGCGUGCCUAAUACAUGCAAGUCGAACGAACUCUGGUAUUGAUUGGUGCUUGCAUCAUGAUUUACAUUUGAGUGAGUGGCGAACUGGUGAGUAACACGUGGGAAACCUGCCCAGAAGCGGGGGAUAACACCUGGAAACAGAUGCUAAUACCGCAUAACAACUUGGACCGCAUGGUCCGAGUUUGAAAGAUGGCUUCGGCUAUCACUUUUGGAUGGUCCCGCGGCGUAUUAGCUAGAUGGUGGGGUAACGGCUCACCAUGGCAAUGAUACGUAGCCGACCUGAGAGGGUAAUCGGCCACAUUGGGACUGAGACACGGCCCAAACUCCUACGGGAGGCAGCAGUAGGGAAUCUUCCACAAUGGACGAAAGUCUGAUGGAGCAACGCCGCGUGAGUGAAGAAGGGUUUCGGCUCGUAAAACUCUGUUGUUAAAGAAGAACAUAUCUGAGAGUAACUGUUCAGGUAUUGACGGUAUUUAACCAGAAAGCCACGGCUAACUACGUGCCAGCAGCCGCGGUAAUACGUAGGUGGCAAGCGUUGUCCGGAUUUAUUGGGCGUAAAGCGAGCGCAGGCGGUUUUUUAAGUCUGAUGUGAAAGCCUUCGGCUCAACCGAAGAAGUGCAUCGGAAACUGGGAAACUUGAGUGCAGAAGAGGACAGUGGAACUCCAUGUGUAGCGGUGAAAUGCGUAGAUAUAUGGAAGAACACCAGUGGCGAAGGCGGCUGUCUGGUCUGUAACUGACGCUGAGGCUCGAAAGUAUGGGUAGCAAACAGGAUUAGAUACCCUGGUAGUCCAUACCGUAAACGAUGAAUGCUAAGUGUUGGAGGGUUUCCGCCCUUCAGUGCUGCAGCUAACGCAUUAAGCAUUCCGCCUGGGGAGUACGGCCGCAAGGCUGAAACUCAAAGGAAUUGACCGGGGCCCGCACAAGCGGUGGAGCAUGUGGUUUAAUUCGAAGCUACGCGAAGAACCUUACCAGGUCUUGACAUACUAUGCAAAUCUAAGAGAUUAGACGUUCCCUUCGGGGACAUGGAUACAGGUGGUGCAUGGUUGUCGUCAGCUCGUGUCGUGAGAUGUUGGGUUAAGUCCCGCAACGAGCGCAACCCUUAUUAUCAGUUGCCAGCAUUAAGUUGGGCACUCUGGUGAGACUGCCGGUGACAAACCGGAGGAAGGUGGGGAUGACGUCAAAUCAUCAUGCCCCUUAUGACCUGGGCUACACACGUGCUACAAUGGAUGGUACAACGAGUUGCGAACUCGCGAGAGUAAGCUAAUCUCUUAAAGCCAUUCUCAGUUCGGAUUGUAGGCUGCAACUCGCCUACAUGAAGUCGGAAUCGCUAGUAAUCGCGGAUCAGCAUGCCGCGGUGAAUACGUUCCCGGGCCUUGUACACACCGCCCGUCACACCAUGAGAGUUUGUAACACCCAAAGUCGGUGGGGUAACCUUUUAGGAACCAGCCGCCUAAGGUGGGACAGAUGAUUAGGGUGAAG
rnacentral:rRNA from 1 species